CCUACGGGAGGCAGCAGUGGGGAAUAUUGCACAAUGGGCGCAAGCCUGAUGCAGCCAUGCCGCGUGUGUGAAGAAGGCCUUCGGGUUGUAAAGCACUUUCAGCGGGGAGGAAGGCGUUAAGGUUAAUAACCUUGUCGAUUGACGUUACCCGCAGAAGAAGCACCGGCUAACUCCGUGCCAGCAGCCGCGGUAAUACGGAGGGUGCAAGCGUUAAUCGGAAUUACUGGGCGUAAAGCGCACGCAGGCGGUCUGUCAAGUCGGAUGUGAAAUCCCCGGGCUCAACCUGGGAACUGCAUUCGAAACUGGCAGGCUAGAGACUUGUAGAGGGGGGUAGAAUUCCAGGUGUAGCGGUGAAAUGCGUAGAGAUCUGGAGGAAUACCGGUGGCGAAGGCGGCCCCCUGGACAAAGACUGACGCGCAGGUGCGAAAGCGUGGGGAGCAAACAGGAUUAGAUAGCCCAGUAGUC
rnacentral:rRNA from 1 species